rnacentral:sRNA from 1 species
GCCGGGCAUGGUGGUGGACACCUGUAGUCCUAGCUACUCGGGAGGCUGAGGCAGGAGAAUGGCGUGAACCUGGGAGGCAGAGCUUGCAGUGAGCUGAGAUCGCGCCACUGCAAUCCAGCCUGGGUGACAGAGCCAGACUCCGUUUAAAAAAAAAAAAAAAAAAAAAAAAACUGGCAUCAAUUUUAAUCAAAAUCUAUGGACAUGCAACAGUAUUAAUUUUUUUUUUUUUUUUUUUUUUGAGAUGGAGUUUUGCUCUUGUUGCCCAGGCUGAAGUGAUCUCGGCUCACUGCAACCUCCGCCUCCCGGGUUCAAGCGAUUCUCCUGCCUCA